rnacentral:rRNA from 1 species
UCCGUAGGUGAACCUGCGGAAGGAUCAUUACCAAUAUUACCUGACCUUCGGUGAACUUCGCUUAGCCUGUCAAUUCUGAAUUCACAAGCGAUAUAGCGAGGCUUUGCUGAGGGCUCCAGGAAAUAAUCAAACACCUGUGAACCUUUCCUACUUCUUCCGUGGACAACAUAUGCGAUCCAUUCACUGGUAGCAUGUCCACGGACAUUAACAUAACAUUCUGUUUUACAAUCAUGUCUGAUAAUACUUUAAAUAAGUUAAAACUUUCAACAACGGAUCUCUUGGUUCUGGCAUCGAUGAAGAACGCAGCGAAAUGCGAUAAGUAGUGUGAAUUGCAGAAUUCAGUGAAUCAUCGAAUCUUUGAACGCACAUUGCGCCCAUUGGUAUUCCUUUGGGCAUGCCUGUUCGAGCGUCAUUUAACCCUUCAAGCUCUGCUUGGUGUUGGGCGUCUGUCCUACCUUAUGGUUUGGACUCGCCUCAAAAACUUGGCGGCCGGUACAUUGGCUUCGAGCGCAGCAGAAACGCGAACUCGAGGCCCGGUUGGUAUUGGGGCUCCCCAGGAAGGCUAUCUCAUAAU